rnacentral:rRNA from 1 species
UCCAGAGGGUGCGAGCGUUAAUCGGAAUUACUGGGCGUAAAGCGUGCGUAGACGGCUAUCUACGUCGGGUGUGAAAGCCCCGGGCUCAACCUGGGAAUUGCAUUCGAGACUGAAUAGCUAGGGUACGGUAGAGGGAAGCGGAAUUUCCGGUGUAGCGGUGAAAUGCGUAGAUAUCGGAAGGAACAUCAGUGGCGAAAGCGGCUUCCUGGACCAGUACCGACGUUCAGGCACGAAAGCGUGGGGAGCAAACAGG